AAGCCAGUGAUGAUAUCAGUCAUAAAACACACCAUCUUUCGGGACUGAAUGGCUUUUUUGCCUUGCUGAUACAUUCUGCAAUUCUGAGGCUU
rfam:Lupinus angustifolius cultivar Tanjil contig_22355, whole genome shotgun sequence.